UAGGGAAUCUUCGGCAAUGGACGGAAGUCUGACCGAGCAACGCCGCGUGAGUGAAGAAGGUUUUCUGAUCGUAAAGCUCUGUUGUUAGAGAAGAACGUUGGUAGGAGUGGAAAAUCUACCACGUGACGGUAACUAACCAGAAAGGGACGGCUAACUACGUGCCAGCAGCCGCGGUAAUACGUAGGUCCCGAGCGUUGUCCGGAUUUAUUGGGCGUAAAGCGAGCGCAGGCGGUUCUUUAAGUCUGAAGUUAAAGGCAGUGGCUUAACCAUUGUACGCUUUGAAAAGUGGAGGAAUUGAGUGCAGAAGGGGGGAGUAGAAUUCCAUGUGUAGGGGUGAAAGGCGUAGAUAGAUGGAGGAACACCGGUGGCGAAAGCGGCUCUCUGGUCUGUAACAGACGCUGAGGCUCGAAAGCGUGGGGAGCAAACAGG
rnacentral:rRNA from 1 species